rnacentral:rRNA from 1 species
CCUACGGGUGGCAGCAGUGGGGAAUAUUGCACAAUGGGCGCAAGCCUGAUGCAGCCAUGCCGCGUGUGUGAAGAAGGCCUUCGGGUUGUAAAGCACUUUCAGCGGGGAGGAAGGCGGUGAGGUUAAUAACCUCAUCGAUUGACGUUACCCGCAGAAGAAGCACCGGCUAACUCCGUGCCAGCAGCCGCGGUAAUACGGAGGGUGCAAGCGUUAAUCGGAAUUAUUGGGCGUAAAGCGCACGCAGGCGGUCUGUCAAGUCGGAUGUGAAAUCCCCGGGCUCAACCUGGGAACUGCAUUCGAAACUGGCAGGCUAGAGUCUUGUAGAGGGGGGUAGAAUUCCAGGUGUAGCGGUGAAAUGCGUAGAGAUCUGGAGGAAUACCGGUGGCGAAGGCGGCCCCCUGGACAAAGACUGACGCUCAGGUGCGAAAGCGUGGGGAGCAAACAGGAUUAGAUACCCCAGUAGUC